rnacentral:rRNA from 1 species
GACGAACGCUGGCGGCGUGCUUAACACAUGCAAGUCGAACGGGCCUUGUCCCCUCUUUUUUUGGGGGUGGGGUUAGUGGCGAACGGGUGAGUAACACGUGAGUAACCUGCCCCUCACUUCUGGAUAACCGCUUGAAAGGGUGGCUAAUACGGGGUGUUCUGGCCUGCUCGCAUGGGUGGGUUUGGAAAGAUUCGACCGGUUUUGGUUGUUUUGGUGGGGGAUGGGCUCGCGGCCUAUCAGCUUGUUGGUGGGGUGAUGGCCUGCCAAGGCUUUGACGGGUAGCCGGCCUGAGAGGGUGGGCGGUCACACUGGGACUGAGACACGGCCCAGACUCCUACGGGAGGCAGCAGUGGGGAAUAUUGCACAAUGGGCGCAAGCCUGAUGCAGCGACGCCGCGUGAGGGAUGGAGGCCUUCGGGUUGUGAACCUCUUUCGCCAGUGAAGAAGGUCCUGCUCUUUGUGGUGGGGUUGACGGUAGCUGGGUUAAUGAAGCGCCGGCUAACUACGUG